rnacentral:lncRNA from 1 species
GGCCCCGCGCCGCUCGGGUCUCCCCCCGCGGUCACCGCGCAGUCUGCGGACGGCUGGCUGGCGGCCACCGCCGCCCCCGACGCCGUCUGUGCCCGUGCCCGUGCGUUCGAAAUGCAAGAGAUCUCCGCUCCGACUUCCGGGUUUUGCUCUACCGUCUCGCGCAUGCGCGCUGCCAUCGCCGCAGCGACAGGAGAGUCCAGCUCUCCGUCCAGCCGCCGGCCUGGCCAGCGCCGCCGCUGCGAAUUGGGAGCUAUUCCCCGGCACCUGCCGGACGGUGCUUUCGCACUCUCACGGAUUCCCGUCAUGGAACGCAUCACUGGGCGCUCCAGGCGUCUGACCGCCGCACCGCGCUCCCGCCGCCUCCUGCGUCCGCUGGUUCCCACUGCCCCCCCCCUCUCGCCUGCACCGCGGGCUGCUUUGAACUCCCCACCCGCGCAGCUGCGAGAGUUCUCUCCUCUCUCUCACUUUUCCCUCCGCUCUGCACUCACGACUGCCCCUCCCCCCAGGAGCCGCCGGCACCGCUGCCCCCCCACUGUGGGUUCGGACUCGGGCAGUGGCCAGUCCCUUCCCCCACCGAGGGCUGCGUCUGUGCCUAGCUUGUCUCACUGUCUGGGGAUUUUCUGCAGCUGAGGAGCUUAGAAAUUGAGAUUUGAGGAGUCUUGAGGAACAGUGUGAACCUGGAGACAUAGGACAUGAUGAGACACCACCCCCCCUGAUCCUCUUCGGGAGGCAAUUUGCUUCCCCUGGUGAGGAAAAUUGCCCGAAGCUGCUGGCUGGGCCAUCUUCCUCCUUGUGCUCCCAUAGGAGCCUUAGCUGUUCAGUCUAAAAUGCCGCGUUGUGAAAAUGACUCUUAUUGUCCUUGCUAAAGGCAAAAGUUUUUGCGGCAGUCUUAUCUCUCUUUUUUUUUUUUUUUUCUUUUUCCUGUGGCUCGGUAAUACAGUUGCUUAUUGAUCCCUUACGAAAAUUUAACUCAAACAAAAGAUGUACAUCUGUGUGCGGGUGAGUAUACUGCACCCACAAUAACAAAGCUUUCAUCUCAUUUGAGGCUAUCUCUACCAGAUGGGUAAAAGUCUUGCCCUGUAGGGCUGAAAAAAUUUUUUGUCUGUCCUUGGGAGCAUCCCUUCCCCAUGUUCUUAAUUUCAACCAUUCUCACCAAAAGCUGAGUCACCACGAGGUCAGUUCGGAGAUGGCACUGUUCAUCGUCCAGCAGGUCACAGGCGAGAAAUCCCAGGCGCGCUUCUGGUUUUCCUCCUCCUGGCUGUCCUCCAGACGAGCUGUCUUGGUGAAGGUUGGAGGUUGUUUGCUGUUUCUUCUUGUUCUUGCUGAUGCCCGCCAAGGGACGCCAAUUGUCGGAAUCUGUGGGUAUUGGUGAUUCCGAGAUUGUAGAAAAUCUCUGUCUUUCUGCCCCGUUGCCAAAGAAGAAGCCAUAGUUCGUCUGUGCUGGUUUCAAGGUUGUUUAUUUUUGCUUAUCUAUAACAAGUUCUGCUGCCCUGCCGCAGGUCUGUCCUGCAGGGCAGCGUGCGGGGCUCUGCCCCUCAGUGGGAUGGUACAAACAUUAUAUACAAAAAAUUACGUGUACUAUAUUUACAAUAAUGUGCCAAUAUCUAUCAUCU